UACGUAGGGGGCAAGCGUUGUCCGGAAUUAUUGGGCGUAAAGAGCGUGUAGGCGGCCAGAUAAGUCCGCUGUGAAAUCCCGAGGCUCAACUUCGAGCUGUCGGUGGAAACUGUCUGGCUAGAGUCCGGAAGAGGAGAAUGGAAUUCCUGGUGUAGCGGUGAAAUGCGCAGAUAUCAGGAAGAACACCCGUGGCGAAGGCGGUUCUCUGGGACGGUACUGACGCUGAGACGCGAAAGCGUGGGGAGCGAACAGG
rnacentral:rRNA from 1 species